rnacentral:rRNA from 1 species
GACGAACGCUGGCGGCGUGCUUAACACAUGCAAGUCGAACGGUAAGGCCCUUCGGGGUACACGAGUGGCGAACGGGUGAGUAACACGUGGGUGAUCUGCCCUGCACUUCGGGAUAAGCCUGGGAAACUGGGUCUAAUACCGGAUAGGACCACUGCCUGCAUGGGUGGUGGUGGAAAGCUUUUGCGGUGUGGGAUGGGCCCGCGGCCUAUAAGCUUGUUGGUGGGGUGAUGGCCUACCAAGGCGACGACGGGUAGCCGGCCUGAGAGGGUGACCGGCCACACUGGGACUGAGAUACGGCCCAGACUCCUACGGGAGGCAGCAGUGGGGAAUAUUGCACAAUGGGCGCAAGCCUGAUGCAGCGACGCCGCGUGAGGGAUGACGGCCUUCGGGUUGUAAACCUCUUUCAGAACCGACGAAGCGCAAGUGACGGUAGGUGCAGAAGAAGGACCGGCCAACUACGUGCCAGCCGCCGCAGUAA